rnacentral:rRNA from 1 species
GUUUUACCUUGACGAAUUGUAGUUUAAAGAAGUGUUUUCUGUUGAAGUUUUGGUAAAAGUUCUUUGGAAUAGGACAUCAUAGAGGGUGAGAAUCCCGUAUUUGACCAUUAUUUUCAGCUGUGUGAUACACUUUCAAAGAGUCGGAUUGUUUGGGAAUGCAGUCCAAAAUGGGUGGUAAAUUUCAUCUAAAGCUAAAUAUUGGCGAGAGACCGAUAGCGAACAAGUACCGUGAGGGAAAGAUGAAAAGAACUUUGAAAAGAGAGUUAAACAGUACGUGAAAUUGUCAAAAGGGAAGCGUUUGACACCAGUGUUGUUUUCUCGAAAAUCAAUUAAAAAAAGUUGGAUUUUGUGUUGUAUUGACCUUAACAGCUUUCUGCACUCUUUUCCUGCUUUUUUU